rnacentral:rRNA from 1 species
CCUACGGGUGGCAGCAGUGGGGAAUAUUGGGCAAUGGAGGAAACUCUGACCCAGCAAUGCCGCGUGAAUGAAGAAGGUCUUCGGAUUGUAAAGUUCUUUAGUCAGGGAAGAAUAAAAUGACGGUACCUGAAGAAUAAGCUCCGGCUAACUACGUGCCAGCAGCCGCGGUAAUACGUAGGGAGCAAGCGUUGUUCGGAAUGACUGGGCGUAAAGGGUGCGUAGGCGGUUAUACAAGUUAGAAGUGAAAUACCCAGGGCUUAACUCGGGUGCUGCUUCUAAAACUGUAAGACUUGAGUGCAGUAGAGGUUAGUGGAAUUCCUAGUGUAGCGGUGGAAUGCGUAGAUAUUAGGAGGAACACCAGAGGCGAAGGCAGCAUACCGGCGCGCAACUGACGCUCAUGCACGAAAGCGUGGGUAUCGAACAGGAUUAGAUACCCGAGUAGUC